GGAUCCUUUUCAAGGUCCGUUCCCACCACCACCAGCUCCCUGGCCGCCUGAAAGUGAUGACGUUGCCACACUUCCAGUGCAGCAUCUCCACUGUGGUCCACCUCCUUUCCCACCUUCUCUUUGAUGGAUUUCUGCCCUGUGAGGGACAGAUUUUAUUUUAUUUUAUUUAUUUACUUAUUUUGUCUUUUGUCUUUUUUUAGGGCCAUACCCUCGGCAUAUGGAAGUUCCCAGGUUAGGGGUCCAAUCAGAGCUAUAGCUACCGGCCUACGCCACAGACACAGCAAUGCCAGAUCCGAGCCAUGUCUGCUACCUACAUCACAGCUCAUGGCAACACUGGAUCCUUAGCUCACUGAGCGCGGCCAGGGAUCAAACCCUCAACCUCAUGGUUCCUAGUCAGAUUCGUUUCCGCUGAGCUACAACGGGAACUUCCAGAUUUCAUUUUGAAUUGAAAGUGACCCAGCAAAUCUGCUUGGUAUCAUAUUCCUCGUGUUUUGCUUGUAUUUUCAGUGUGGAACAAAGAAAGUCAACUGAAUUGUGUGUUUUGAGUCUGGGGAUUUUUUUUUUUUCCCCCAUCUUUCUUAACCAUGCCCAAAUCCUGGGUCCCUUUUAGUGAUUUUUGUCUUGUGUUUGUACACUCUCACUAUUUGCUGUCCUUUGAGUUUCAGUCUUAUUUUCAUCCCAAAUAGUGGGUUAAAAAUAUUAGUCCAGGAGUUCCUGCUGUGGUAUAAUGGAUUAAAGAUCUGGAGUUCUCUCUGUGGCAGCACGGGUUUGAUUCCCCAACCUGGUGCAAUGGGAUAAGGAUCUGGCCUUGCUGCAACUGUGGUGUAGGUUGUGGAUAUGGCUGGGGUUUGAUCCCUGGCCCAGAAACUUCCAUAUGCUAUGGGUGCAGCAGAAAAAAACAAAACCCUGUAUAGGAGUUGACAAAAAGUGAACCAUCGCAUCGGUCCUUUGACCAAACCUGGCCAAAAGGGCCCUCUGCUUAAAACAAUAACAAGGAGUUCCGGAGUUGCUGUAGUGGCACAGUGGAACGAAUCUGACUAGGAACCAUGAGGUUGUGGGUUCGAUCCCUGGCCUUGCUCAGUGGGUUAAGGAUCUGGCAUUGCCGUGUGACCUGUGGUAUAGGUCGCAGACUGACACAGCUCUGAUCUGGCACUGCUGUGGCUCUGGGUAGGCCGGAGGCUACACCUCCAAUUCGCCUCCAAGCCUGGGAACCUCCACAUGCUGCUGGUGAGGCCUUAAAAAAAAAACAGACAAUAAACACAAACAGACAAACAACAACAACAAAAAACCAAGGAGUUCCCUGGUGGCCUGGCAGUUAAGGAUCCCGUGUUGUCCCUGCUGUGGCUAAGGUUCAGUCUCCGGCCCAGGAACUUCCACAUGCCUCGGAUAGGACCAAAAAAUAAAAAAUUUAAAAUAAAAAAAAAAAACAACAAGAAGCAUGAUGUGCCCAUAUCAUCCAUUCAUCUCUUCCCCUUUCCCUGAAUAUUAGAAAGUAUCCAUAGCUAGUCCCCCACUACCCUUUCCUCGCCUGGUCCUUCCCUACCUAACAGGUUGCCUCUGAAGCCCCCAGGAAGACUCACUCUCCCCAUCUCCACCUCAGUUGCUUUCCUGUGGGUGUGAUUCAGGGCCCCUUAUCUUAAGGGGCUGGGACAGAGCUGGCAGGCCGAGGCCGUGAUGCCGGUGGAUUAAUACGUAGCUCUCAGUGUUAGACACCAUCUUGUAUAGGGACAUUUCAUGGAUUUGUCGGCAUUUUUGUUUUAUCAUGAACCUAUUUCUGAUAGUUUUUCUUACCACUGGUCCAUCCACCAAGCAUCUAGUCUAUCUGUACAGAGCUGGGAGCUGCCUGGAGUCAGCUCCUUAACCAAAUGCCACGGGUGUCCAUUUCCUUCCAAUAUAUGGCUCCUAAUAUUGGGACCUUCAUCCUUUGGGACUUGGGAAUCCUCCUUCCCCAUCCUUGGUAGAUAACUGGGGAAAACAAUAGGGCUAAUACCAGGUCACACAAAAUGGAGCAUUUUAUGUGCACCAGGAGCCAUUCUGGAGCCCUUGUGUGUAUCUUCUCUUUGACUCCUCAUAAUGACCUUAUCAAGAUGUCCUGCUGUUGACCCCAUUUUAUAGAGAGUAAAAUGAAGAUACAGAAAAGCGAAGUAACCUCAUGGUCACACAGCCCUGUAUCUGGGCUUUAAGCCUGAGCUCCUCUGCUUUCCUCCAAAAGGCUUUACAUGAUGUGCUCACUCUUUCCCCAGGCAGCUCAUCCUAUCCUUAGGGCUCCUGAUGGAAAAGUUUCUUUGUGGUCAAAAUCCUCAUUGUAGAUAUUAUCUGUGACAGUUUGGGGCACAGAAUCUUGUCAGUUCCAAAAAAAAUAAAUUUCCAGACUUAAGGUCUCAUCAAAGUUCCUUUUUUUACCCCUCCACCCUUCCCUGAGCAUCCUCUCAGUUGCCAAGCCCUAUUUAUUUAACCUCUGCAAUCUCUCUGCUGCCCUGUGUUCUUCUUGUCAUUUUCUCCCCAAUGUCCCAGGAUAGAGACUUGGUUCCUUCGUGAGGCCCUCAUGGUUCUCUGCCCUGGCGCCAUUCUCCUUUCUGUUGCCCUCGCCAGGCCCUCAUGGAAUAACCAAGUGCCUCUCAUGGGACUGGCUCCUUUCUCAGAGAUAGGAUAGAUCCAGGAGUGAUAGAUUCCCACUUGGUCGCUGGCCUUGUGGAGCUUACACCAACCCACUUCUUUGACCCUCUUUCUUGCCCUGCUCUUGAACUUGGGCAACUCAUGUUAGAGCUUCCUUCAGCUGUGGGUGCCAAUCCUCCUCUACCCCCCUCCUCCUCUGCCUAUUAACAUCCUACUCAUCCUUCAAGGCUUGGCUCAGAUACCACUUCUCUGAAGCCUUUUCAAUUUAGCCCAGUCUGUGUGACUCACUCCUUUGUCUGGGCUUCCACAAGUGUGUGUUUGUAUUUCAUUAUAACCUUUGUUCGAGUCUGCUAUGUAUUUUAGAGCGUUCUUUUCAGAUGUGAAAGCCACAGAUUUUUGCCCGAAGGUAAGAACCUAUGUAACUUAUUUUUCUGUGCCCCAGAGCACACGGAAUAGGGAGUAGGUGCUCUGUUGAUAUUAUUAGGCAGAGUAAAAAUAAUUACCAUUAUGUUAAGGGCCUCUGUGCCUCAAGAAUGCUAGAUAUUUUGUGUGUGUCCUUGUUUUUGCUCCUACCAGCUAGUUUGUGAGUUAUGGAUACGAUCAUUAUCCAUCUUACAGAUGAGAAAAUUGACGUCCAGCAAGAUGAUGUAACUUGCUCAGAGUCACAGAGUUACUAAGGUGAGGGGCAAGUAUUUGCACUCAGGAAUGCCUGGUUCCAUAGUCCAUGCUCAAAAACCCCAGGAUACCUAAGAAAUACACUGUGGUUGUUGCAGUGGCUCCUGGAAGUCCAGAUGAAGAAUCCACAUCCCUUCCCUAAAUACUCACAUGGCUCAAUUUCCUCAUCUUUCCAUAUCCUGGAAAUUUCCUCUUUUUACUCAUUCUGUAUAGUUUGAGUAUCCCUAAAACUGUGCUAUAAAAAACUGGAAAGAGGAUUCCAGAUUUGCAGUUUUGGACACUGGUCCUUUUUUUUUUUUUUAUUUAUUUAUGACCAUUGACCAAAAUUUUAUGUUGCAUUGAAGAACAGUCAUAAAUAACCUAGGAGCACAGUAUCACAUAUUGAGAGUUACACUGAGUGUGGGUUCAGUUAGCUCAGCUUUGUUUUUGAGCUGGUAUCAGGCAAGGGCCUCCCCAUCAUGUUGGUUGAAUCCUUUGGUUGCAAGCAACAGAGUUGAACUCUGGAUUUCAAUUUAAAGGAAAAGAAUUGAUUGGAGGAAUAGCCAGUAGCUCCCAGAAUGGACAGAAAAUUUGGGCAGGAUAGGAGGCAGUACAUUUCCAGUAUAUGGAACGUGAGUGAACUUGACCAGCUCAUCAGUGUCACUGCUGAAAGAAGUGCUCCCCAACUAUUUUUCUAUGCUCACAUCAGUCUCCUGAGAUGAAUCAGAUGGGCCUUCUUUGUACCUCCUACCUACCCAUGGCUGUGAGAGGGCAGAGGGGGGCUGACUGAGGAGUACUACCUCACUUGCAACACGGGGGAGGGGUAAUUCUGAGCAAGGAAAUGCAAGUAAAAAUGGAUUCUGGAUAGCCCCCCAAUUUCACAAACACCGGCUGUCCCUGAAUUCUGUACUCAUAGUAAUGUUUAUUGAAGAGGUAUGUAGAGGUUUGCCUCUGUAAAGUCUUCCCUUUUGAAACUUCAGGCCUCCUUUUUUUUUUUUUUUUUUUUUUUCCUUCUUCGAGCUACACCUAUGGCAUGUGGAGGUUCCCAAGCUAGGGGUCGAAUCAGAGCUGCAGCUGCCAGCCUACACCACAGCCACAGCAACGCCAGAUCUGAGCUACGUCUGCAGCCUAUACUGUAGUUCCUGGCACUACCAGAUCCUUAACCCACUGGGCGAGGCCAGGGUUUGAACCCACAUUCUCAUAGAUAUUAGUUGAAUUUGUUUCUGCUGAGCCACAGCGGGAACUCCCCAGGCCUCCUUUCUAGCCAGGAUCUUGAUUCUGUCAUUGUUGGUAUGGGGAAACCUUCCAGCUUUUUGUCACAGCGAGUUUGAUGAACCUGCCUUUAUCUCGUAGGGCCUGUCUGGUAUGUAAGUCCCUGGGAAAUACGUAUAACCUACUCAGACCUGUUGCUAGCUUCCUACUUGAAGACCUUCCUCCAGCUAGUUCUAAUAAAAUCCAAGCCCUAAAAACCCCUCAUCAAAUAAUAAGAGAGAAAUAGAGUAAAUGCACAAUUCAUGAGAUUAAUAUAGAGCAGAAAGACAAUCUCUUUUUUUUUUUUCCUAAUAAUCUUUACUUUUAUAUCCUACUUUAUGGGGGUGCUGUUUAAUUUCAUGUUCAUUUACUUUAAUUACUUCUCACAUGUAGUUUGCGGGGAAGUUUGCCAUUUUCCAACAUCUAAAAGAUGGCUUACUUGAGUUUCGUUUCAGACCCUUUUAGAAUUAAUGUGUAAUAAAACCCAAUGUGGAUAUUUCUCAUUUUUCACCUCAAAGGAUUAUUCAUCAUAAUAGAAUCAGUUUUUCCAGGGAGAUUUUAUCAGACUUACAAGUCAAAUUAGUUGAGUGCAUUUCUUCUGCUAAUAAACAGAGAACCUUUACCCUGGAAGCAUCUCUAUGCUGAAUUCCAAUAAUUCAUUGUUUCCUUGCCUCAAGAGAUCAACCUAUAAACGACCUCAGAAUAAAAACAUAAAUUUAUUAGUCUAAAAGGAGGUUGUUAAGAUGGGAGAAUUUGAGAAUAAAAGAAAGGUCAUAAAAUCAAAAUGUAAAUAUUGACUAUAUGGUAAAAUUAAAACAAAACAAAACAAAACAAUUUUAGAGGGAUAGACUUAAUUCUCCCUGACCCUAAGCAGAGCUUUUGGGGGGACAGAUUUUCAUGUGUAUGUAGUUGCAUUUGUUGGUGUGUUAUAGCUGAAGAAGAUGCCAGAUGGGUAAGAGGUGGUCGUAUAUUUCCGUUAAAAAUUCUAGGUUGCUCAUUUAGAAGAUAGUGGCUACUGGGCUAGAAUCAGGCCAAGCUGAAGGGUGCCUGGUUUGAUCACUGCCUCUGUUUUGAUUGGCUCCUUGAUCUGUAGGUCCAAGGUUAAUUGUGGGAAGAUUUUGGCCCUGAAACUAUGACAAGCCCUUACAUGAAUGGAAAGGGGAUGUAGUUUCUUUCAAGUGCAUCUCUUAGGGGUAGGUGUGAUCCCUUGACUCAGUGCUUGACGAUAGUGAGUGCAUUGGUUCUUGGGAUGAGUUAGUUCUAAAUCCUGCUUUUAAGUUCAGUCAAAGUUGCCGUGACCUUCUCAAGCUGCUUGCUCACAAGUGCUCCAAAUGCUGUGAUGCUGGGCGUUUUGUCAGUUAAGUUACGUUCAUAACCAAGCAAUGCUUGCUUCUCUAAGAUACGGCAGAUUUGACCUGAGAGAAGAGAGCUGAGCGUGGAUUUCCUUUCACUCCAUAGAUAAGAUCUGCUUAGGCAGAGACU
rnacentral:lncRNA from 1 species